rnacentral:rRNA from 1 species
GAUGAACGCUGGCGGCGUGCCUAAUACAUGCAAGUCGAGCGAACGGACGAGAAGCUUGCUUCUCUGAUGUUAGCGGCGGACGGGUGAGUAACACGUGAAUAACCUACCUAUAAGACUGGGAUAACUUCGGGAAACCGUAGCUAAUACCGGAUAAUAUUUUGAACCGCAUGGUUCAAAAGUGAAAGACGGUCUUGCUGUCACUUAUAGAUGGAUCCGCGCUGCAUUAGCUAGUUGGUAAGGUAACGGCUUACCAAGGCAACGAUGCAUAGCCGACCUGAGAGGGUGAUCGGCCACACUGGAACUGAGACACGGUCCAGACUCCUACGGGAGGCAGCAGUAGGGAAUCUUCCGCAAUGGGCGAAAGCCUGACGGAGCAACGCCGCGUGAGUGAUGAAGGUCUUCGGAUCGUAAAACUCUGUUAUUAGGGAAGAACAUAUGUGUAAGUAACUGUGCACAUCUUGACGGUACCUAAUCAGAAAGCCACGGCUAACUACGUG